AUGAACGCUGGCGGCGUGCCUAAUCCAUGCAAGUCGAGCGAACGGACGAGAAGCUUGCCUUUCUGAUGUUAGCGGCGGACGGGUGAGUAACACGUGGAUAACCUACCUAUAAGACUGGGAUAACUUCGGGAAACCGGAGCUAAUACCGGAUAAUAUUUUGAACCGCAUGGUUCAAAAGUGAAAGACGGUCUUGCUGUCACUUAUAGAUGGAUCCGCGCUGCAUUAGCUAGUUGGUAAGGUAACGGCUUACCAAGGCAACGAUGCAUAGCCGACCUGAGAGGGUGAUCGGCCACACUGGAACUGAGACACGGUCCAGACUCCUACGGGAGGCAGCAGUAGGGAAUCUUCCGCAAUGGGCGAAAGCCUGACGGAGCAACGCCGCGUGAGUGAUGAAGGUCUUCGGAUCGUAAAACUCUGUUAUUAGGGAAGAACAUAUGUGUAAGUAACUGUGCACAUCUUGACGGUACCUAAUCAGAAAGCCACGGCUAACUACGUG
rnacentral:rRNA from 1 species